CAUCAUACAGGGCAUACAUUCCUGUUCAAAAUAUCAUCACCUGCUGUUCCAGGAGACGCAGCCAGCAGCUGGAAUCCAGUCUGAGGAGGCGUUCAGGGACUUCAGUAGCUGGAGCCAUGGCAGUCAGCUGGAUCAUUCUGUUCUAUGGCCUGGGACUGGCAGCAGCUAAGCUAACGGGUGAUACAG